UGUGAAAUAGCUCAAUUGGUAGAGCGUCAGACUUUAAAUCUGGAGGUCCUUGCUUCGAUCCCGAGUUCCGGUA
rnacentral:tRNA from 1 species